AGGAGCCUGUCCUUUAAUCGAUACCCCACGUUAAACCUCACCCCCCUUUGCCAAUCCAGCCUAUAUACCGCCGUCGAAAGCCUACCUUGUGAAAGAACCCCAGUGGACAAAAUAGUCACCCCCCCCCUCACACGUCAGGUCAAGGUGUAGCUAANAGGGAGGGAAGAGAUGGGCUACAAUCUCUCUAACCCAGAGCCCCGCAAGUGGCAUGAAACACACCCUGAAAGCAGGAUUUAGCAGUAAACUUAACAAGC
rnacentral:rRNA from 1 species